CACGUACUGUGCGAACGUUAUUCGGAAUCACUGGGCUUAAAGGGUGCGUAGGCGGCGAUUCAAGUCAGAUGUGAAAUGCCUGAGCUUAACUGAGGCACUGCGUUUGAAACUGAAUUGCUUGAGUAUUUCAGGGGUGUGCGGAACUGCCAGUGGAGCGGUGAAAUGUGUUGAUAUUGGCAGGAACACCGGAGGCGAAAGCGGCACACUGGGGAAUAACUGACGCUGAGGCACGAAAGCCAGGGGAGCGAACGGG
rnacentral:rRNA from 1 species